rnacentral:rRNA from 1 species
CCUACGGGGGGCAGCAGUGGGGAAUAUUGGGCAAUGGACGCAAGUCUGACCCAGCAACGCCGCGUGAAGGAAGAAGGCUUUCGGGUUGUAAACUUCUUUUAAGGGGGAAGAGCAGAAGACGGUACCCCUUGAAUAAGCCACGGCUAACUACGUGCCAGCAGCCGCGGUAAUGCGUAGGUGGCAAGCGUUGUCCGGAUUUACUGGGUGUAAAGGGCGUGCAGCCGGAGAGGCAAGUCAGAUGUGAAAUCCGCGGGCUCAACUCGCGAACUGCAUUUGAAACUGCUUCCCGUGAGUAUCGGAGAGGUAAUCGGAAUGCCUAGUGUAGCGGUGAAAUGCGUAGAUAUUAGGAAGAACACCAGUGGCGAAGGCGGAUUACUGGACGACAACUGACGGUGAGGCGCGAAAGCGUGGGGAGCAAACAGGAUUAGAUACCCCGGUAGUC